GACGAACGCUGGCGGCGUGCCUAAUACAUGCAAGUCGAGCGGACAGAAGGGAGCUUGCUCCCGGAAGUCAGCGGCGGACGGGUGAGUAACACGUGGGAAACCUGCCCUGCAGAUUGGGAUAACUCCGGGAAACCGGGGCUAAUACCGAAUAACAUUGGAAACCUCAUGGCUUCCUUUUAAAGGGCGGCUUCGGCUGUCACUGCAGGAUGGGCGCGCGGCGCAUUGGCUGGUUGGUGGGGUAACGGCUCACCAAGGCGACGAUGCGUAGCCGACCUGAGAGGGUGAUCGGCCACACUGGGACUGAGACACGGCCCAGACUCCUACGGGAGGCAGCAGUAGGGAAUCUUCCGCAAUGGACGAAAGUCUGACGGAGCAACGCCGCGUGAGUGAAGAAGGUUUUCGGAUCGUAAAACUCUGUUGUCAGGGAAGAACAAGUACGGUAGUAACUGCCCGUACCUUGACGGUACCUGGCCAGAAAGCCACGGCUAACUACGUGCCAGCCGCCGCAGUAA
rnacentral:rRNA from 1 species